UACGUAGGGGGGCAAGCGUUUGUCCGGAGUUACUGGGCGUAAAGCGCACGUAGGCGGCUUUUGUAAGUUAGAGGUGAAAAGCCCAGGGCUUAACCCUGGAAUUGCCUUUAAGACUGCAUCGCUAGAAUCGUGGAGAGGUGAGUGGAAUUCCGAGUGUUAGAGGUGAAAAUUCGUAGAUAUUGGAAGAACACCAGUGGCGGAAGGCGGACUCACUG
rnacentral:rRNA from 1 species